rfam:Clostridium sp. CAG:75 genomic scaffold, scf489
UGAUAGCGUAGAAGCGUGAGGUUGCUCUUACCUGGUAACGGAUAAGAGGUUUUCCGUGGAGCGAAUGUCAAGUUGAGAAUUGGCGACAA